UCGAAAUCCUAAGGCUACUAUCGUGGCCCUAUCUCCAGAAACGGCCUAACGCCUUUAGGAUUAGGAUGAAGAGGGGAAGAUGACGACUGCCUGUUGGUACCUUAGAAAAGAAGAAGCACUGAUAUUUAAAAGGCUGGUGAAUCGAUGGUGGCUGAAACUGUUCAAUCUCGAACCGAAGAAAUUUUGGAUCAAUGCUCGAGCAGAGUCCCCAAUCUAUCAGGUGGCAAAAGUGCGUCUCGUCCUGAGGGACAUUUACCCUCACUAG
rnacentral:lncRNA from 1 species